GACAGAGGGGGCAAGCGUUGCUCGGAAUCACUGGGCGUAAAGGGCGCGUAGGCGGGAUGGCAAGUCAGUCGUGAAAUCUCUCGGCUCAACCGAGAAACGUCGGCUGAUACUGCCGUUCUUGAGGGAUGCAGAGGAGACUGGAAUUCCCGGUGUAGCGGUGAAAUGUGUAGAGAUCGGGAGGAAGGCCGGUGGCGAAGGCGGCGCUCUGGAACAUUUCUGACGCUGAGGCUCGAAAGCGUGGGGAGCAAACAGG
rnacentral:rRNA from 1 species